rnacentral:lncRNA from 1 species
UUGGACGAUUUCUUCAUCAAUUUUCAGCUGAGCGAAGGUGAUUGAGAAGAGGAUGUCUUCAUCAAUCUAGUAGCGGAUUCAGUGAUAUUGAAGGGAAGAUUUCGGGUUCGAUUCGUUAUAGUUGAGAUCAGUCGGGCCGAGGGCUUGAAGAACUGAGAGUUAUUCAACAAAGGGGCUGGAAUCGGAGGUCUAUCAACAACAAUCGAAGGACUUGAUUCACCUUGAAUCAAGGAAC